rnacentral:rRNA from 1 species
GAAAGAUUCAUCGGAAGAGGAUGGGCAUGCGGCGCAUUAGCUAGACGGCGGGGUAACGGCCCACCGUGGCGACGAUGCGUAGGGGUUCUGAGAGGAAGGUCCCCCACACUGGUACUGAGACACGGACCAGACUCCUACGGGAGGCAGCAGUGAGGAAUAUUGGUCAAUGGGAGAGAUCCUGAACCAGCCAAGCCGCGUGAGGGAAGACGGCCCUAUGGGUUGUAAACCUCUUUUGUCGGAGAACAAAACCCGGGACGUGUCCCGGACUGCGUGUAUCCGAAGAAAAAGCAUCGGCUAACUCCGUGCCAGCAGCCGCGGUAAUACGGAGGAUGCGAGCGUUAUCCGGAUUUAUUGGGUUUAAAGGGUGCGUAGGCGGUCCGUUAAGUCAGCGGUAAAAUUGCGGGGCUCAACCCCGUCGAGCCGUUGAAACUGGCAGACUUGAGUUGGCGAGAAGUACGCGGAAUGCGCGGUGUAGCGGUGAAAUGCAUAGAUAUCGCGCAGAACUCCGAUUGCGAAGGCAGCGUACCGGCGCCAGACUGACGCUGAGGCACGAAAGCGUGGGGAUCGAACAGGAUUAGAUACCCUGGUAGUCCACGCAGUAAGCGAUGAAUGCUGGUUGUCCGGGUCGAAUGAGACCUGG